CUCUCUAGUGACCGAUAGUGAACCAGUACCGUGAGGGAAAGGUGAAAAGUACCCCGGAAGGGGAGUGAAAGAGAACUUGAAACCGUGUGCUUACAAGUAGUCAGAGCCCGUUAAUGGGUGAUGGCGUGCCUUUUGUAGAAUGAACCGGCGAGUUACGAUCUGAUGCAAGGUUAAGCAGAAAAUGUGGAGCCGUAGCGAAAGCGAGUCUGAAUAGGGCGAAUGAGUAUUUGGUCGUAGACCCGAAACCAGGUGAUCUACCCUUGGUCAGGUUGAAGUUCAGGUAACACUGAAUGGAGGACCGAACCGACUUACGUUGAAAAGUGAGCGGAUGAACUGAGGGUAGCGGAGAAAUUCCAAUCGAACUUGGAGAUAGCUGGUUCUCUCCGAAAUAGCUUUAGGGCUAGCCUCAAGUGAUGAUUAUUGGAGGUAGAGCACUGUUUGGACGAGGGGCCCCUCUCGGGUUACCGAAUUCAGACAAACUCCGAAUGCCAAAUAAUUUAACUUGGGAGUCAGAAUGUGGGUGAUAAGGUCCAUAUUCGAAAGGGAAACAGCCCAGACCACCAGCUAAGGUCCCAAAAUAUAUGUUAAGUGGAAAAGGAUGUGGCGUUGCCCAGACAACUAGGAUGUUGGCUUAGAAGCAGCCAUCAUUUAAAGAGUGCGUAAUAGCUCACUAGUCGAGUGACACUGCGCCGAAAAUGUACCGGGGCUAAACAUAUUACCGAAGCUGUGGAUUGUCCUUUGGACAAUGGUAGGAGAGCGUUCUAAGGGCGUUGAAGCAUGAUCGCAAGGACAUGUGGAGCGCUUAGAAGUGAGAAUGCCGGUGUGAGUAGCGAAAGACGGGUGAGAAUCCCGUCCACCGAUUGACUAAGGUUUCCAGAGGAAGGCUCGUCCGCUCUGGGUUAGUCGGGUCCUAAGCUGAGGCCGACAGGCGUAGGCGAUGGAUAACAGGUUGAUAUUCCUGUACCACCAUUAUUCGUUUUAAGCGAUGGGGGGACGCAGUAGGAUAGGCGAAGCGUGCUGUUGGAGUGCACGUCCAAGCAGUGAGAUUGAGUGUUAGGCAAAUCCGGCACUCUUAAGAUUGAGCUGUGAUGGGGAGAGGAACUUGUUCCUCGAGUCGUUGAUUUCACACUGCCGAGAAAAGCCUCUAGCUAGAAUAACGGUGCCCGUACCGCAAACCGACACAGGUAGUCAAGAUGAGAAUUCUAAGGUGAGCGAGCGAACUCUCGUUAAGGAACUCGGCAAAAUGACCCCGUAACUUCGGGAGAAGGGGUGCUCUUUGAGGUUCACGCUUCGAAGAGCCGCAGUGAAUAGGCCCAAGCGACUGUUUAUCAAAAACACAGGUCUCUGCUAAACCGUAAGGUGACGUAUAGGGGCUGACGCCUGCCCGGUGCUGGAAGGUUAAGAGGAGUGGUUAGCGCAAGCGAAGCUACGAAUCGAAGCCCCAGUAAACGGCGGCCGUAACUAUAACGGUCCUAAGGUAGCGAAAUUCCUUGUCGGGUAAGUUCCGACCCGCACGAAAGGCGUAACGAUUUGGGCACUGUCUCAACGAGAGACUCGGUGAAAUCAUAGUACCGGUGAAGAUGCCGGUUACCCGCGACAGGACGGAAAGACCCCGUGGAGCUUUACUGUAGCCUGAUAUUGAAAUUCGGUACAGUUUGUACAGGAUAGGUAGGAGCCUUAGAAGCGUGAGCGCUAGCUUACGUGGAGGCAUUGGUGGGAUACUACCCUAAUUGUAUUGGAUUUCUAACCCGCAGCACUUAUCGUGCUGGGAGACAGUGUCAGGCGGGCAGUUUGACUGGGGCGGUCGCCUCCUAAAGAGUAACGGAGGCGCUCAAAGGUUCCCUCAGAAUGGUUGGAAAUCAUUCAUAGAGUGUAAAGGCAUAAGGGAGCUUGACUGCGAGACCUACAAGUCGAGCAGGGUCGAAAGACGGACUUAGUGAUCCGGUGGUUCCGCAUGGAAGGGCCAUCGCUCAACGGAUAAAAGCUACCCCGGGGAUAACAGGCUUAUCUCCCCCAAGAGUUCACAUCGACGGGGAGGUUUGGCACCUCGAUGUCGGCUCAUCGCAUCCUGGGGCUGUAGUCGGUCCCAAGGGUUGGGCUGUUCGCCCAUUAAAGCGGUACGCGAGCUGGGUUCAGAACGUCGUGAGACAGUUCGGUCCCUAUCCGUCGUGGGCGUAGGAAAUUUGAGAGGAGCUGUCCUUAGUACGAGAGGACCGGGAUGGACAUACCUCUGGUGUACCAGUUGUCGUGCCAACGGCAUAGCUGGGUAGCUAUGUAUGGACGGGAUAAGUGCUGAAAGCAUCUAAGCAUGAAGCCCCCCUCGAGAUGAGAUUUCCCAACUUCGGUUAUAAGAUCCCUCAAAGAUGAUGAGGUGAAUAGGUUCGAGGUGGAAGCGUAGCGAUACGUGGAGCUGACGAAUACUA
rnacentral:rRNA from 1 species